GAUGAAGAACGUAGCGAAAUGCGAUAAGUAGUGUGAAUUGCAGAAUUCAGUGAAUCAUCGAAUCUUUGAACGCACAUUGCGCCCCUUGGUAUUCCAUGGGGCAUGCCUGUUCGAGCGUCAUUUGUACAUUCAAGCUUUGCUUGGUGUUGGGUGUUUGUCCAUUCUCUUGCAGAGGGACUCGCCUUAAAGUAAUUGGCAGCCAGUGUUUUGGUUUUGAAGCGCAGCACAAGUCGCGAUUCAACGCUAUACGCCAGCUUCCACAAGCCUUUUUCACUUUUGACCUCGGAUCAGGUAGGGAUACCCGCUGAACUUAAGCAUAUCAAUAAGCGGAGGA
rnacentral:misc_RNA from 1 species